rnacentral:rRNA from 1 species
ACGAACGCUGGCGGCGUGCCUAAUACCUGCAAGUUGCGCGAUGAAGAUUGGUGCUUGCACCAAUUUGAAGAGCAGCGAACGGGUGAGUAACGCGUGGGGAAUCUGCCUUUGAGCGGGGGACAACAUUUGGAAACGAAUGCUAAUACCGCAUAACAACUUUAAACAUAAGUUUUAAGUUUGAAAGAUGCAAUUGCAUCACUCAAAGAUGAUCCCGCGUUGUAUUAGCUAGUUGGUGAGGUAAAGGCUCACCAAGGCGAUGAUACAUAGCCGACCUGAGAGGGUGAUCGGCCACAUUGGGACUGAGACACGGCCCAAACUCCUACGGGAGGCAGCAGUAGGGAAUCUUCGGCAAUGGACGAAAGUCUGACCGAGCAACGCCGCGUGAGUGAAGAAGGUUUUCGGAUCGUAAAACUCUGUUGGUAGAGAAGAACGUUGGUGAGAGUGGAAAGCUCAUCAAGUGACGGUAACUACCCAGAAAGGGACGGCUAACUACGUG